rnacentral:rRNA from 1 species
UACCACUUCCAAGGAAGGCAGCAGGCGCGCAACUUACCCUAAUCUCGAUUCGAGGAGGUAGUGACAAGAAAUACCGAUGCGGGACCCUACGGGUGCCGCGUUCGGAAUGAGUACGAUUCGAACCACCUAACGAGGAACGAUCGGAGGGCAAGUCUGGUGCCAGCAGCCGCGGUAAUUCCAGCUCCAAUAGCGUACGUUAAAGUUGCUGCAGUUAAAAAGCUCGUAGUUGAACGUUCGGGUUCCGCGGGACGGGGCCGCCCCGCGAGGGACGGCGCCGCCCCGGGGCUCGUGAUAUCUCAUCUCGCCGCCCGUCGCGAGGCGGACGGAGGGAUGGAUGAGGUUACCUGGAAAAAAUCGGGGCGAUCUAGGCGGGCGAACCUCGCCAACGAACGAUCGGACAUGGGAUAACGGAAGAGGGCGUCGGCUCGACUUCGUCGGUUCCUCGGGCCGAGGCACGUACGGUGAAUAGGGACGGUCGGGGCCGCCCGUACCGGGUCGUGAGAGGUGAAAUUCUAGGAUCGACCCGAGACGAACCGCCGCGAAAGCAUUCGGCAAGGACGCUUUCAUUAAUCAAGAACGAAAGUCGGGGGAUCGAAGACGAUCAGAUACCGUCGUAGUCCCGACCGUAAACGAUGCCGACCGAGGGCCCGGAGGAGUUACGUACGACCCUCCGGGCCCUCCCGCGAGAAAUCAGGAGUAUUCGGGUUCCGGGGGGAGUAUGGUCGCAAGGCCGAAACUUAAAGGAAUUGACGGAAGGGCACCACCAGGAGUGGAAUCUGCGG